rnacentral:rRNA from 1 species
CCUACGGGAGGCAGCAGUGGGGAAUAUUGGACAAUGGGCGAAAGCCUGAUCCAGCAAUGCCGCGUGAGUGAAGAAGGCCUUCGGGUUGUAAAGCUCUUUUACCCGGGAAGAUAAUGACUGUACCGGGAGAAUAAGCCCCGGCUAACUCCGUGCCAGCAGCCGCGGUAAUACGGAGGGGGCUAGCGUUGUUCGGAAUUACUGGGCGUAAAGCGUACGUAGGCGGCUUUGUAAGUCAGAGGUGAAAGCCCACGACUCAAUCGUGGAACUGCCUUUGAGACUGCUUCGCUUGAAGAUGGGAGAGGUUAGUGGAAUUCCGAGUGUAGAGGUGAAAUUCGUAGAUAUUCGGAAGAACACCAGUGGCGAAGGCGGCUAACUGGACCAUUCUUGACGCUGAGGUACGAAAGCGUGGGAGCAACAGGAUUAGAUACCCUGUAGUCCACGCCGUAAACGAUGAUAACUAGCUGUCGGGGCUCUUGGAGCUUCGGUGGCGCAGCUACGCAUUAAGUUAUCCGUCCGUCGGGUAGGUACGGUCCGGCCGAACGGUUAAAACCGUUUAAAACGUUAGUAAGUUAGUACGGCGUGAGACGUAAGUCCGACGGACGACGACGAGGGAGUAGG